rnacentral:rRNA from 1 species
GACGAACGCUGGCGGCGUGCUUAACACAUGCAAGUCGAACGGAAAGGCCCUGCUUUUGUGUGGUGCUCGAGUGGCGAACGGGUGAGUAACACGUGAGUAACCUGCCCCUGACUUUGGGAUAACUUCAGGAAACUGGGGCUAAUACCGGAUAGGAGCUCCUGCUGCAUGGUGGGCGUCUGAAAGUUUCGUCGGUUGGGGAUGGACUCGCGGCCUAUCAGCUUGUUGGUGGGGUAGUGGCUUACCAAGGCUUUGACGGGUAGCCGGCCUGAGAGGGUGACCGGCCACAUUGGGACUGAGAUACGGCCCAGACUCCUACGGGAGGCAGCAGUGGGGAAUAUUGCACAAUGGGCGGAAGCCUGAUGCAGCAACGCCGCGUGCGGGAUGACGGCCUUCGGGUUGUAAACCGCUUUCGGCAGUGAAGAAGCGUGAGUGACGGUAAUGGGUAAAGAAGCACCGGCUAACUACGUG